rnacentral:rRNA from 1 species
UACGUAGGUGGCAAGCGUUUGUCCGGAUUUAUUGGGCGUAAAGCGCGCGCAGGCGGUGAGGUAAGUCCGUCGUGAAAUCUCCCGGCUCAACUGGGAGGGUGCGGGGGAGACUGCCUGACUGGAGGCACUCAGAGGCCGGUGGAAUUCCCGGUGGAGUGGUGAAAUGCGUAGAGAUCGGGAGGAACACCAGUGGCGAAGGCGGCCGGCUGGGGGUGACCUGACGCUGAGGCGCGAAAGCGUGGGGAGCGAACCGG